rnacentral:rRNA from 2 species
AGACCCGAAACCCGGUGAUCUAGCCAUGGGCAGGUUGAAGGUUGGGUAACACUAACUGGAGGACCGAACCGACUAAUGUUGAAAAAUUAGCGGAUGACCUGUGGCUGGGGGUGAAAGGCCAAUCAAACCGGGAGAUAGCUGGUUCUCCCCGAAAGCUAUUUAGGUAGCGCCUCGUGAAUUCAUCUCCGGGGGUAGAGCACUGUUUCGGCUAGGGGGCCAUCCCGGCUUACCAACCCGAUGCAAACUGCGAAUACCGGAGAAUGUUAUCACGGGAGACACACGGCGGGUGCUAACGUCCGUCGUGAAGAGGGAAACAACCCAGACCGCCAGCUAAGGUCCCAAAGUCAUGGUUAAGUGGGAAACGAUGUGGGAAGGCCCAGACAGCCAGGAUGUUGGCUUAGAAGCAGCCAUCAUUUAAAGAAAGCGUAAUAGCUCACUGGUCGAGUCGGCCUGCGCGGAAGAUGUAACGGGGCUAAACCAUGCACCGAAGCUGCGGCAGCGACAUUUAGGUGUUGUUGGGUAGGGGAGCGUUCUGUAAGCCUGUGAAGGUGGCCUGUGAGGGUUGCUGGAGGUAUCAGAAGUGCGAAUGCUGACAUAAGUAACGAUAAAGCGGGUGAAAAGCCCGCUCGCCGGAAGACCAAGGGUUCCUGUCCAACGUUAAUCGGGGCAGGGUGAGUCGACCCCUAAGGCGAGGCCGAAAGGCGUAGUCGAUGGGAAACGGGUUAAUAUUCCCGUACUUGGUGUUACUGCGAAGGGGGGACGGAGAAGGCUAUGUUGGCCGGGCGACGGUUGUCCCGGUUUAAGCGUGUAGGUGUGUGUUCCAGGUAAAUCCGGUU